rnacentral:ncRNA from 1 species
UUUCCCUCAGGAUAGCUGGCACUCGGGCAUGGGCAGUUUUACCCGGUAAAGCGAAUGAUUAGAGGUCUUGGGGCCGAAACGAUCUCAACCUAUUCUCAAACUUUCUAUGAGCUAGACUGGGACACGGAGCAUACAGGGUACCGUAAAGACAGUUUUAUGUGCUG